rnacentral:rRNA from 1 species
UACGAAGGGGGCUAGCGUUGUUCGGAAUUACUGGGCGUAAAGCGCACGUAGGCGGACUGUUAAGUCAGGGGUGAAAUCCCGGGGCUCAACCCCGGAACUGCCUUUGAUACUGGGUAUCUCGAGUCCGGAAGAGGUGAGUGGAAUUCCGAGUGUAGAGGUGAAAUUCGUAGAUAUUCGGAGGAACACCAGUGGCGAAGGCGGCUCACUGGUCCGGUACUGACGCUGAGGUGCGAAAGCGUGGGGAGCAAACAGG